ACUCCUACGGGAGGCAGCAGUGAGGAAUAUUGGUCAAUGGGCGCAAGCCUGAACCAGCCAUGCCGCGUGCAGGAUGACGCAUCUAUGGUGUGUAAACUGCUUUUGUACAGGAGGAAACAUCCCGACGAGUCGGGACUUGACGGUACUGUAAGAAUAAGGAUCGGCUAACUCCGUGCCAGCAGCCGCGGUAAU
rnacentral:rRNA from 1 species